GAGGCUUCUUGCUAUUUUGGCUAAGAUCAGGAGUAGUAUCUGUUCUUAACAGUUUAAUAUCUGAUAUGUCCUCUACCUGAGGGCUCUUUAUUAAAUGGAUUUGGUGGCUAAUAAAAAAAAAAAGAGAAAGGAGACCUCACCACUUUAAGAGCUGAUGGACAUCCCCUGCCCUCAAAGGCAUUCAUCA
rnacentral:snRNA from 1 species